AAAGACUGGGAGGGAUGCCCAGUGGCCUUCCUACCCCUCCUCCUCAUCUUCUACUCUCUUUCCCAAGUUCCUUUGGAAGGAGAUUAUUUCUGAAAUAUGGCGAGCAACAAUUACAGCCAUUGCACAGUUGUGAAGGAGUCACUGGAGGACCCGGGAACAGCUUUCUUUAUGCCCCUUCCUGACAUCCAGACCUUCUUGUGGGUAAAGGGUAUGAGGCGGGCAGCUGAAAGGGUUUAGCGGAUGCUGGCCUGAAGAAAUGGGGAAACUGCACAUAAAGCAUGGGGCUUUGGAGUAUGUCAUCCUUCCUCACUGAAGAUUAUACUGUUGCAGUGUGGAGGCGUAUAAUUUAGCAGCUGCGAAUGUCAAGGAAUUCUCGAAGACAAAAUUAAGAUGAAUCACAACUUGUAAACAAAAGGAAGCCACGAUAGAGUACAACUGUGUUGUAAGUCUUUAAAAGGCAUUCUCUAUAUUACAACAUCUGGCUAAACCAGCCAGCCAGUUCCUUAAAAAGUGCAGACUUCCAGUUGGUUUGGCGAGCCAAGAAGACGCAUUUGCAGCUGCUCUGCAAACAAAUCGGCGUAACAUGGGUAAAGCUGCUUCAAAUUUACAACUCAAGCAGCAGAAUAUUCCACAAGGAGUGGUUUUCGGAGGGGGCUAAAUUUCCCUCAUAUACCUUCAGAAGCAUUCAAACUGGAAGAAGGUAGAAGGGAGAAGCCAGCCACAACUGCAUUAAGUGCAGCAGGAUAGUCCGCCAAUUCAAACAAGCUGGUAAAAGGUAAAAGCUUUCUUUUGGGGCUUUGGCUCAUACACAUAGCCCCUAACAGCUGGGACUCUAUUAUUAUCUGUCACAGUGUUAAUUUCAACAUAAAACUCUUCUUGCAAGCUUAAGACGGUGAAGAUAUCGCUACAGAAAAGGAAGCAUUCUAUACCAUAAACAAGCUUAAGAAAGUAACAGAAACGACGCCCAUCUAAAGGUCCUGCUAAGCUUUUCUCUCCCACUUUAUUUAUAGCUUAAAAAUUUUGGGGGACUCUCUCUUUUGUAAUACGUUUAAGGUAAAGAAAAAAGGGAAACCUACCGCGGUUGAGGAGUUUCGUUGUUUGAAGUGAGCUCCCUCCGUGUAGAGCGGUUUUCUGUAUUGUGCCAGCACUGAGGACACAAACGGAAAUAGGAAGCAGGAAGUGAAUUACAAGGCCCUAUGGGAACUGUAGUUUGUAAUAGGGAAACAGCUUAAUAAGAAGAGAAGGAAUCCCCAAUUGACAGGGAGGUUUUGGAGAACUUUUGAAACAGAGCAUUUCAGUUAUUAUGGACACUAGAAGGAAAACUCAACAACAACAAAAUAUAAAAAUGAAUUUACAACCCUAUAGGAGAACUUCGUUAGAUCAACCUACUCCUCCCAAAAACUUUGCAUCCUAUUUUGAGGAAAUAAGGAAAAUCUCCUCUCUCCUUAGUGAACAGAUGGACAAUUUAAAUAAAGAGAUGAAAACCUUUAAGGCUGAAAUAGAAAAAGAGCUAAGGGAAGAUUGGAAAGAAAUUAAUAAUUCCAUGGAAAAGAUUGUGUCAGAACUCAGUAAUAUGGAGAAAAUGGAUAAACUGGAAUAAAAACAAGUGGAUGUUCUGUUAGGAAAUGACAUGUAUGUGACCACAAGAUAGAGCUGUAGCGGAACCUAUUACAGUUCCAGUGGCAGAUAACAGUUGACACUUGCAUUAUGGAAUGUUGAUGCUGUCAGUCCUUCUGA